rnacentral:rRNA from 1 species
GACAGAGGGGGCAAGCGUUGCUCGGAAUUACUGGGCGUAAAGCGCACGUAGGCGGCUUGGUAUGUCGGGUGUGAAAUCCCCGGGCUCAACCUGGGAACUGCAUCCGAAACUGCCUUGCUAGAGUAUGGGAGAGGGAAGUGGAAUUUCCGGUGUAGCGGUGAAAUGCGUAGAUAUCGGAAGGAACAUCAGUGGCGAAGGCGACUUCCUGGACCAAUACUGACGCUCAGGUGCGAAAGCGUGGGGAGCAAACAGGG